rnacentral:rRNA from 1 species
UCGGGAAUUUUGGGCAAUGGGCGAAAGCCUGACCCAGCAACGCCGCGUGUGUGAAGAAGGCCUGAGGGUUGUAAAGCACUUUAGUUGUUGAGGAAGGUUGUGUGGUGAAUACCCGCAUGACUUGACGGUAAACAAAGAAUAAGCACCGGCUAACUCUGUGCCAGCAGCCGCGGUAAUACAGAGGGUGCAAGCGUUAAUCGGAAUGACUGGGCGUAAAGGGCGCGUAGGUGGACAUAUAAGUAAAUUGUGAAAGACCCGGGCUUAACCUGGGAAGGUCAAUUUAAACGGUAUGUCUGGAGUGGAGUAGAGGGAAGUAGAAUUUCCGGUGUAGCGGUGAAAUGCGUAGAUAUCGGAAGGAAUACCGGUGGCGAAGGCGUCUUCCUGGACUCUAACUGACACUGAGGCGCGAAAGCAUGGGGAUCAAACAGGAUUAGAUACCCCCGUAGUCCCUGAGCGGGCUGGCAAGGCGCAU